GAUGAACGCUGGCGGCGUGCCUAACACAUGCAAGUCGAGCGAACAGAUAGGGAUUUCUCUCGGUUGAAGUUGGCGGCGGACGGGUGAUUAACAGGUGGCUGACCUACCUAUAGGACUGGGGUCCCUACGCGAAACCGGAUCUUGCACCGGAUCAUAGUUCGAACCUCGUGGUUCGUUAGUGAAAUAUGGUUUUGCUAUCCCUAAGAGAUGGACCCGCGCCGGAUUAGCUAGUUGGUACGGUAACGGCCUACCAAGGCGACGAUGCGUAGCCGACCUGAGAGGGUGAUCGGCCACACUGGAACUGAGACACGGACCAGACUCCUACGGGAGGCAGCAGUAGGGAAUCUUACGCAAUGGGCGAAAGCCUGACGCAGCAACGCCGCGUGAGUGAUGAAGGUCUUCGGAUUGUAAAGCUCUGUAAGUAGGGAAGAACGGAAGUGAGAUAAACCGUGCCUGUCUUGACGUUACCUACAGAAUAAGCCCCGGCUAACUUCGUG
rnacentral:rRNA from 1 species